GAAGCCGUGCAUGCAUCGACGGAACCCGACGAGACAACCAGUGGAAUUUACUUUGGUGCGCGCGAUAGAUCGGCCCUUUAGAUCGCACGCGCCAUCAGCCAAUAUGCUUACUUUUCUUUCUCCGCAGGGGUCUUAAGCUCCUAUAAUUCUUCCUCAUUCUUUUUCAUUUCUAAGUAAAACCGUGUAUCACAAGAUGGAACAAGAUAUGGCCAAUAACGCCAAAAGACGAAUGUCUAAAUGUCCUCCUUAUUAAGCACAGAAAAUACAGUAUUUCAACACCGUGUUCGACUAAGAGAUGACCCGUCAUACAAAUCGUGUCUAGCCUCUACGUCAAACAGAUAAUCGAUGGAACACACAAGGAAGAACUUUUUAUAUUACAUCGUCCAACUUGUGUAGUCAAACUACUAGGUGGAUGAGAAGAUCGAGAUUCAUGUUCCAUAAGUAUUAGUUUCCAAAGAUUUUUUUCAACAAAAUUUUGAGCUUCUUUUUUGAAAUAAACAUCCAAGAAAAUUGCGGGUGGAGAAGUAUACCUUCAAUUCCGCAGACAUGAUCUUUCACGUGUCCGCAGACGCGCUCAUGUGAUGCAUGACAAUGUGCCGUCAAGAUAAAGCAACGAUCGAUCCAAUGAAAGAAGACAAGAUGAAAAAUAUGCGGCCAGACAAUUUACAACACGCUCUAUCUCAUCCACCUCUUUCUGCUUUGACCUACAACAUUCGUUCAUUCGCAACAAGUUACACGCAUCUCUGCGCCGUUAAAAAUUGCCAGUACAUACAUUUGCACCGUAAAUUUUGGCUUGGAGCAAAUUAUUAUUAGCGCGAUUUAGUGCGCGCGAGUGAGAUAGUAAUCGGUUCUGUGAUCAGAAACCAUUAGGUGCUUGCGUCUCAUCUCUUUCUUCCUCUCGGUUAGUCGUAAAAACUUUCAGUAUCUUUGAGACUUGAGACGAAACGAAGAAGAAAAGGCAAAAGGAAUCUUUUUGACCAAGAGACUAAACUGGGCGAAUGUGGCGCUGAGAAAUGUGCACUGCUUAGUAAACAAAUGAACGAAAAGACCCGAGUUCAAGUGGCAACCAUCGAGAGUAUCCUGCCACACAUACCUCUUUAGGGGUAUAGCUCUCCAGCUGGGAGGUUUCCUUCGGCAAGGUUAUAGCAGCCUACCGAAGAUGAAGUAAAACAAAAUGCUCCAAGUACCAGAACGAGAACUGUAUGCGAAAUGUAUAUUGCAGAAAAAUUGGUAAACUGAAUUUCCAACCAAAUUAGUCAGAGUCAUUAUAUCUGGAGGUUCGGUCCAAUUUCAACUUUUAAGUAAAAAUAUUCUUUGCGUCUUUGUGAGUUUUCCACAAUUAAUGAAUGUUUAUAAUUACAGAAUCUCAUAAUCAUUGUCGUCUUUUUAUGACCAUUUUUGAAUUUACAAUUUUCCAAAAGUCUUUUCCAAAUCUUUUUUAGAUAGAGAGACAGAGAAAGAGAGAUAUAGGGGUCUUACUUUACUUCAAAUCUUGUCAAAACAAAGUUUACUUUAAAUUAAACGAAACGAAAUUCUAUUUAAAAAAAAUUUAAUUUUUCAGGCUUUCUAUUACACACUAUACCUAAACAAUUGGAGAAUUAUCAAGACUUUACCUUUGAAAAUAAAAACAUGGAUUUUUCUCAUUUGUGCUUGAAAUAGAUAACUAUACUGCCCAGUACGGCGAAAGUUGCAAGACAUAUUUUCUUUAAAGUUGCUCAUACUGUAUACCUAUUUUUCUAACAAAUGUCCAUUGUAGAAGAUGCAUUUGGAAGGAAAAUGUACAUCGGCGUUUCUUACUUGAAUGUCACGAUAGUGACGUUUAUACACGUGAUGUUUAGACGUGCUGGUUUUACGUCGAGCGAUUCACAGGGUAAGCGUGUGCGAGUAUCCUAUGAAAUUUACGCUUGUGUUUGCAUUCCUAUAGACGACAUAGCGUCCAAUUAAAUGUUUGAUAUAAGGAUGUCAAGUCCACCAUGUUUUGACUUUUGUGGUGAUGCGUCUCGCUGCGAAACGACGCGACGUCGAGAAAAUUUCGGGUAAUUCGCGAGAAUAGCGAGAAUUCAAACAGCUACAAAAUGUAAAAUUAUCGCGACAUGUUAAGUACAGCAGAUGCUGCGAUCAAGAUGGACACUUGUUGUGUGCAAAAAAUAUUAAAACCCAAAAACCCUCGUUUGCAAUGUCUGUAUAUCGCAUUGAUAAAUAAACUCUGGACAUUUACCUCCUUAUUAUCGCGAUAAUAUACAAUUUUUGCAUUUUCACAAAGUUACAUUUAGAUACUAAAACGUAAAAAAUGAUAUUAGUGAAUAAGUUUAAUUUCUAAACUGAAAUAAAAACGGUUCUUCAAGACAAAUAUUCUCUUGAUAUGUAGAAGCAGUAUCGCGUAAAGGCUGUGUCGUCGUAAAAGUGUUUGUGCCGUGCUUGAGCUGUCGCCAUUUGUAACAUGAAAUGGAGACGAAUUUAUAACAUGAACGGAACAUCAACUCAACAUUGUCACGCUUAAUCUCUUUAUUAGAUUAGUAACUUUGCGAUUUCAAAGAGAGAGAGAGAGAGGACUAAGAAACUAAUUUUGCUAAUAGGGUGGACAGAUAUACUCCUAUCAAAUAUAUGUAUAUUUUAUGUGUAAAAUAAAAUACUGAUAUUUUUAUAAAAAUGUCAACAUAUAUACAUAUACAUACAGCGUCCAAUAUUACAAUAAAAUUUAAGAAAUUUUUUACAGAAGCUAAUAAAUCACUAAUGUCUCAA